rnacentral:lncRNA from 1 species
UUUAAAUAUAUUUAUGAGGGAGGGGGUGACCUUCUCAGCCUUUACAAGUUCAAAAUGUGAAAGUCAGUGGCGGUUUCGUUAAACAAAUUCAAUUUGGUACGUCACAUGUAACUUGCAAGUCAAUAAUUCAAACUGGAUUUUUUAUUCGUUGGAGCUAUUGUUGACAAUUGGUUGGGAAUUUAAUUCUAGUUCUAGAUAGAAACUAGGAGACCGUGAUGCGGCAUCAAAGAGAUUAUGUUUGAGCUAGGACCGGAAAAGCUUAGCUGGUUGAUGUCAAAUAGAGCAAUCUCAUGAUGGGUUGGGUUGGGUGUGCAUCAACACUGAUGGAGCGCACUCACGAGAAACUUUGUGGUGGUGUGAUUUGUGGGGAUGGAGUUUGGUUGAAAUCCUAAAUAAAAUUUAGACUUUAUUGUAGAUGAUCUUUCUUACUAAAGUUUGUUUGGUCAAGCUAUCAUUUACCCUAAUUCAACAUUAAUUUUUUCCUCCAUUGUGAUAACAUUAAAUCUUUUUAAGUGGUUAAGCGUUCUCUUUCUCUUUAUUUUGAAAAAGGAAAAAGUAGAUUUGCCUCUUCUCUCAUUUCUCCUCUCAUCGCCUCCUUUCAAUUUCAUCAUUGGAAACCUGAUCGUUUUCACCAGUGAAUUGAGUUUCUAUGCGACUGGAGGCUAGGGAUUGCACUUCAGAAUUUUAUCGGAAUGGUUUUGAAGGUGUGUGUAUUUAUGUGAUGCAAUCACAGAAGGACUCUUCUAUUUAAACCUUUUGUUUCCAGAUUUUGUCUCUGAUAUUGACUUGAUGUGUGCUUAAUUAUUCAGAGCUGGUUCAAGGUAAUUUUAUGCAUAAUUUGGAGCGAGAUCGAGGUGAUUUUCUUGCAUAAUUUAGAGCUGGUUUUCUGCAUGUGGGCUAAUGUAAUGCAGCAGCAGUGUUUUGGUACUGCAGCUGCUACAUAGUGGCAUUUUUUCCUCCCUGUGUUCUGAUUUGUCUAUUUGUGUUCCAGCUGCAACAUAUUGGUUUUAAUUUCUUCUCUUUGCCUUGGUCUUCAUGUGUUUUGGCUCAAUUUACAAAAAAAAUUACUGUGUCAAUUAUAUAAUUUUAGUAUAUGACUAUAAUUUAUGGUGGUUCAAUCUGUCUCGAAGAAUGAUGCUGAAGAAAAUGAAGCUGACAUAAUAGAAUAAUUUAUACACCUCUUAUUGUAAAUUAUUUAUAUCAUCUAGCAAUAUAAUUUAUAUGAUAUGAUGCAUGUGUAUUAAGAAUGGUUUUGGAGACGGAACUGGAACUUUACUCAUGGGCAUGUAUUUUAUAAUGCUACUAUAGUCUUCUUCCAAAAUAUAUGCUUAUGGAAUGUCUUUCUUUUUUUUCAUAUCCAUAUGUGUGCUUAACUAUUCAGAGCUGGUUCAAGGUAAUUUUCUGCAUAAUUUGGAGCGAGAUCGAGGUGAUUUUCUGCAUAAUUUAGAGCUGGUUUUCGGCAUGUGGACUAAUGUAGUGCAGCAGCAGUGUUUUGGUACUACAGCUGCUACAUAGUGGCAUUCUUUCCUCCCUGUGUUUUGAUUUGUCUAUUUGUGUUCCAGCUGCAACAUAUUGGUUUUAAUUUCUUCUCUUUGCCUUGGUCUUCAUGUGUUUUGGCUUAAUUUACAAAAAAAGUUAUUGUGUCAAUUAUAUAAUGUUAGUAUAUGACUCUAAUUUACGGUGGUUCAAUUUGUGUCUAAGAAUGAUGCUGAAGAAAAUGAAGCUGACAAUCUAGAUGCAAACUUAUUGACUAUGUCUAAUGAAAAGGCACUUGAGAACCCUGUAAUCGAGAGUGCAGAUUCAACCAAGUCUGACAAUAGGCAGAGUGAUAAUAACCAAACCGUCAUUGAGACUAACCGUGUAGCAAAUUAAGUGGCAAGCAGAUCGUUGAUAUUGUAGGCUCUACCAAGCUUGGAACUGAAUUGGGGGAUAACUCAACCUACAAAACACGGAAAGUGAAAUGCACUAUGUAACAGCCCGAUUUUUAGCUAGAUUUAUUUUAAUUACUUUUAAUUGUGUUUGUGUGUAUUUAAUUGUCGUCGGGUGCAUUUACGUGGAUUACCGUAUUAUAAGGGUAUUUUAGUCAUUUGACGGGUAAGGGUAAAAUGGUAAUUUUGGUGAGAAUCAUUUUAAUAUUUAGUGAGAACCCUUAUUUUACUAAGUUACUAGUGUAGUGAUUAGUUUUUACCGUUAGUGACCGUUCGUUAUAUUUUACCGUUGUUAGUAAUUAUCGUUGAGUGUAUAGAAACUUUUUGGAAUUAUGUUAGAAUGAGUUAAGCUCAUUAGAAUUUGGAAUUGAGCCCAUUAAGGGAGAUAACAUUAGGGUUGUCAUAGGAAAAUAUCUUUCAUUCACUUCACAAAACAUUUUCCUAGAGAGAGAGAGAGGUAGAGAGAGAAAGAGGUGAAGAGAAGAACAAGAGUGUUGAAGGGAAAGCUUGGGGAAUCAAUUUGGGUGACCUAUGAGCUGAAUUGAAGCAAGGGUUAGAGAUAAUCAACUUCAAAGGUAAGGGGGUUAGUUAUUAUCAUAAUCAUGUACAAUCUUUGCAUUUUCUCAUGUUGUAUGAAAAUGGGUUGAUGAACAAUUGUUGCUAAAUUCGUGCUCUUGCUGUGAUGCUAUUUUCUUGUGCAUGAAUUGAUGAUUAUGGUAUGUUUGUGGGUGAAAUUACAUGUUUCAAAGUAUGUAUAAAUGUUAAGUUAUGAAAUUAUGCUUAAUUGAUGAAAUUUGAUAUGUUUUGAUUGAAAUGAGAUGUGAUUCAUAUUCCAUUGAUGUGGUUAUUGUUAACUGAUGCUAUUGUAAGUGAAUUAUGAUUUGGGUAUACUUAAUUGUGGAUUGAUGAUGAGAAAUAAAUUGUUGUUGGUGGUUUUGUGAAAUUGGUGAAGUUGAGUUAAGUGUUCAUGUGAAGGACCAAAAUGAACUUUUGGUAUAUAUAUGGUUGUUGACUGAAAUUUUGAUAUUGUUGGAUGAAUUGAACCUAUGAGAAUUUCUGUUUUCAUGUUGUGGUUAUGUUAGUUGAGUCGUUUGGGAGAAAACGGGUUUUUCGUGUGAAAUGUCAAUGUUUAAGCGUUUUCGCCAAUAAGUGAUUAUGUGAGGUUUUGGAAAAUGACUUUUGGGAUGGUUGAAACAUGAAAUUUUUAUAGAUUAUGUUAGAGUCAAGUGUCAGGAUCGUGUAGGUGAAAACGGCAUCAAAAUCCGAUUAACGGUUUGCAUUUUACGCGCAAAAUGGUGAAAAACGCACUUUUUGAAAAAGCUGUAAGCGAACAGGCCAGAAGCACACUUCAGAAGCAUACUUCAGAAGCACACUUCAGAAGCAUGCCAGAAGCUUCUUAAGAAGCAACCGUGCCCAGUUCCAGCAGCCCUGUUUCGUGUUCUUGCGUCUUUUUCACCUAUUCUGUUUUGAAUUGGCCCUUGGUGUAAACAUGAAAGUUUUAGAUAAUUUUGUUAGCUUUCUAAUGGCGUUGGUUUGAGGUCCAAAUGAUUUUUAGAACUUGAGUUAUGAUCAAAUUACUACACAUGGGUCAUGUGGAUUUUUGUGAAAACUUAUCGUAACUUUUUCUUUAAGCCGUGAAACUUUUCCAAACUUGAUAUUGGGUUUAACGAAGUACUUAGAGUGAAUAAUUGAGUAUGCAUUUAUGUAUUUGGGAAUGUGAAUGUGUUGAUGGUUUAAGAAAAUAUUUUGAGUGGAGUAGAAUCGGUGAAAACGAGUUUUGAGCUAAAUGUCGUUUUGUCUUGGUUCUUCUCAUACGAACUUAAGCUAUCCUUUGAACUAAUUUCUAAUAGUUUGUAAGUGGCUUAAGUCCUUGACUACAUGAUUGAUUAAGAUUGAAUUGUAGGAUUUCAAAUUUGAAUAAGUUACCUAAGUUUGAAAAUUAUCAAUGUUGGCCGUUUGCCACAUGAUUUGAAUUUUUGUCGGAAAUGUUUCUUUAGCAAAUUGUCUUGUGAGUUAUUGAGAUUAUUCUUGUAUGACUAAGUGAAGUUGUAUGAAUGAAUGAUUGUAUUGAAUAUGAUGUUUAUCAUGAGAUGUUAUAUGUUAUCUUACUUAGAAUGUAAGGAAUGCUUGAAUGGUGAAACUAUAUGUGAUAGUUGAUUAUGAAUGAUUAUAUGUUGGAUAUGAUAUUUAUCAUGAGAUGUUGUUUUCCAUAUUACUUGGAAUAUGAGAAUGCUUGAAUUGGUGAACUAUAUGUGACAGUUGAUGUUGAAUAACAUUGUGGAUUAUUGAUGAUCAUGUUGAUGUGAUGAUGGUGAAUACUAUGAUUUAUUUGUGUAUGGGCAUGUUUUCUUGAUAAUGCAAUGAUGUGGAGAUAAUCAAUAUAAUUGGGUGUUGUCCUAUAUAUUGAGAUUGAGAUUGUGAAUUGUUGUCGCAUUAUCGAGUCCUUAUACAUGUCCAUGCAUCAUAGUCGUUGUUGCUGUAAAAGGGAUGACUCUUUUACUUCGAGAUUAUUGUAAGGCAGGUGUGAGCCCUUACAUUCGAUGUGCAAGUGGCAUCGAAAGGUGACGACGUUGUUGAGAUUUGGUACCACAUGCAUUUAUGUGUCAAUAAGUGCAUAUCAUGACAUGAGUCUUAUUUGGAAAUGUGAUUGGAGAUUGUGAAUGAAUAUUUGUGAAUUGAUAAUUGUUCAUGAAAUAUGAUUAAUGAUCGUGCAUGGCUUAUGAUUGGUGAUUGUUCAUGAUGUAUAUGAUCGGUGAUUGUUCAUGAUGUAUAUGAUUGGUGAUUGUGUAUGAAUAACUGUGAAUUAAUUAUUAUUCAUGAUACAUGUAAUUGGUGAUUUUUCAUGAAAUGUGAUUAGUGAUUAUUCAUGAUACAAGUAAUUGGUGAUUGUUCAUGAAAUGUGAUUAUUGAUUAUUCAUGAUAAAUGUGAUUGGUGAUUGUGAAUGAAUAAUUGUAAAUUGAUAAUUGUUCAUAUGAUUGAUGAAGAUUGAUGUGAGAUAUUGGGGUGUGAUGUAAGUACUAAUGUGUAAUUAUUAUUGAUCAAGUCCAUGAUGUUUUAAUUGAAAUAUUCAUGUUAACUGUUAUUUGGAUUGUGAUCUAAUUAAUCAUAGUUUUCUCGUGAGAUCUAAAAUAUUCAAGAAGCAGAAUAAAUAUACUACACUGUCUUGUUCUUGUACCAAAAAGUUAAGGUAAAUGCUAAUUUAUGUUCUUGAGGACGCACAUGUUAAUGAAUCAAAUAUAAAAAAUAUAUUGAAAUGUGUGUAUUAUAUUUAAUCUUUUACUUUUUAAAGAAUUG